rnacentral:lncRNA from 1 species
CUGAAAGCAGAGGGGAGCAUCCCGGACUCCCCUGGCAGAGUCUGCAUCCAGGCCAAUUUUACAAACAGAUGAGUCCUGAUCCUCUGACCCUCUCAGAGGGCGGAAAGGAGAGCUGUGUAGCAGAAGUGCCGUCAGGCGGCAGCGCAGCCCAGGGAUGGAAGCGCAGCCGCGCCGCUCUCCGGGGCUGGAAGCGCCUCUGCGCUUUCCCCUGCGCUCAGCACCGAGACAUUUCUG